GAUGAACGCUGGCGGCGUGCCUAAUACAUGCAAGUCGAGCGAACGGACGAGAAGCUUGCUUCUCUGAUGUUAGCGGCGGACGGGUGAGUAACACGUGGAUAACCUACCUAUCAGACUGGGAUAACUUCGGGAAACCGGAGCUAAUACCGGAUAAUAUCUUGAACCGCAUUGUUCAAUAGUGAAAGACGGUCUUUCUGUCACUUAUAGAUGGAUCCGCGCUGCAUUAGCUAGUUGGUAAGGUAACGGCUUACCAAGGCAACGAUGCGUAGCCGACCUGAGAGGGUGAUCGGCCACACUGGAACUGAGACACGGUCCAGACUCCUACGGGAGGCAGCAGUAGGGAAUCUUCCGCAAUAGGCGAAAGCCUGACGGAGCAACGCCGCGUGAGUGAUGAAGGUCUUCGGAUCGUAAAACUCUGUUAUUAGGGAAGAACAGAUGUGUAAGUAACUGUGCACAUCUUGACGGUACCUAAUCAGAAAGCCACGGCUAACUACGUG
rnacentral:rRNA from 1 species